rnacentral:rRNA from 1 species
UGGGGAAUUUUCCGCAAUGGGCGCAAGCCUGACGGAGCAACGCCGCGUGUGGGAAGAAGGCUCUUGGGCUGUCAACCACUUUUCUCAGGGAAGAAGCCCUGACGGUACCUGAGGAAUCAGCCUCGGCUAACUCCGUGCCAGCAGCCGCGGUAAUACGGAGGAGGCAAGCGUUAUCCGGAAUUAUUGGGCGUAAAGCGUCCGCAGGGGGCACAUCAAGUCUGCUGUUAAAGGCUGGAGCUUAACUCCGGUAGAGCAGUGGAAACUGGUGUGCUAGAGGGCGACAGGGGUAGAGGGAAUU